ensembl:snRNA U6 U6 spliceosomal RNA
GUGCUCACUUCAACAGCGCAAUACUAAAAUUGGAAGGAUAUGGAGAAGGUUAGCAUGGCCCUUGUGCAAGGAUGAUGUGCAAAUUCAUGAAGCGUUCCAUACUUUU